CGCCGCGGUUAUACGAGCAGGCCCAAGUUGACAGACUCCGGCGUAAAGAGUGGUUACGGAUACAAACCACUAAAGUUAAACACCCCCCUCACUGUGAUACGCGCCCGGGGGUUGGAGACUCCACUACGAAAGUGACUUUAAUACCCCUCCCGAACCCACGACAGCCAGGGAA
rnacentral:rRNA from 2 species